UACAGAGGUCCCAAGCGUUGUUCGGAUUCAUUGGGCGUAAAGGGUGUGUAGGUGGCGCCGUAAGUCGGGUGUGAAAUCUCGGGGCUUAACUCCGAAACUGCAUUCGAUACUGCGGUGCUUGAGGACUGGAGAGGAGACUGGAAUUCAUGGUGUAGCAGUGAAAUGCGUAGAGAUCAUGAGGAAGACCAGUGGCGAAGGCGAGUCCCUGGACGACUCCUGACACUGAGGCACGAAAGCUAGGGGAGCAAACAGG
rnacentral:rRNA from 1 species